UACGUAGGGGGCUAGCGUUGUCCGGAAUCAUUGGGCGUAAAGCGCGUGUAGGCGGUCCGGUAAGUCCGCUGUGAAAGUCGGGGGCUCAACCCUCGGAUGCCGGUGGAUACUGUCGGGCUUGAGUACGGAAGAGGCGAGUGGAAUUCCUGGUGUAGCGGUGAAAUGCGCAGAUAUCAGGAAGAACACCUAUGGCGAAGGCAGCUCUCUGGGACGGUACUGACGCUGAGACGCGAAAGCGUGGGGAGCAAACAGG
rnacentral:rRNA from 1 species